rnacentral:rRNA from 1 species
GACGAACGCUGGCGGCGUGCCUAAUACAUGCAAGUCGAGCGGACGGAUGGGAGCUUGCUCCCAGACCGUCAGCGGCGGACGGGUGAGUAACACGUGGGCAACCUGCCUGUAAGACUGGGAUAACUCCGGGAAACCGGGGCUAAUACCGGAUAACUCUUUCCCCCACAUGAGGGAAAGCUGAAAGAUGGCAUCUCGCUAUCACUUACAGAUGGGCCCGCGGCGCAUUAGCUAGUUGGUGAGGUAACGGCUCACCAAGGCGACGAUGCGUAGCCGACCUGAGAGGGUGAUCGGCCACACUGGGACUGAGACACGGCCCAGACUCCUACGGGAGGCAGCAGUAGGGAAUCUUCCGCAAUGGACGAAAGUCUGACGGAGCAACGCCGCGUGAGUGAUGAAGGUUUUCGGAUCGUAAAACUCUGUUGUCAGGGAAGAACAAGUACCGGAGUAACUGCCGGUACCUUGACGGUACCUGACCAGAAAGCCACGGCUAACUACGUG